GGGGGGCGGCAUGGUGGUGCAGUGGUUAGCACUGUCGCCUCACACCUCUGGGACCCGGGUUCGAGUCUCCGCCUGGGUCACAUGUGUGUGGAGUUUGCAUGUUCUCCCCGUGUCGUCGUGGGGUUUCCUCCGGGUACUCCGGUUUCCCCCCACAGUCCAAAAACAUGCUGAGGCUAAUUGGAGUUGCUGAAUUGCCCGUAGGUGUGCAUGUGUGAGUGAAUGGUGUGUGUGUGUGCCCUGCGAUGGGCUGGCCCCCCAUACUGGGUUAUUCCCUGCCUCAUGCCCAUUGCUUCCGGGAUGGGCUCCGGACCCCCCGCGACCCAGUAGGAUAAGUGGUUUGGAAAAUGGAUGGAUGGAUAAUACUUUUUAAUGGCCUUAAUACUUGCUUAUGUCAUUUAAUACCUUUUAAUACUUUUUAAAACCCUGCAGACACCCUGCAUUUAAUGUCCCAUUCUACAACAUUAAGAAUGAAUGCCUCCACCGCCAUAGCUGCCACGGGUCUGACUUUUCCAAAGCCUGAUGUAUUGUGAUGAACCAUUGAAUCAUUUUAAUAAAGUAGGGCUAUGUGAAAUGACCAAAAUGUAAUAUCCAGAUACAAAAGUCUUCUCAUAUCCUGAAAAUGAUAUAUCACAGAUGUACCUCAUUUAUGGAUUUUUUUCUACAAAUCAGCUGCAGUAAGAAUUGAAUAAAAAGGAGUGAGAUCACAAAUGUAACGUGAUGUGACCCACAAAUAUGCAAAACCCUUUUCAUGGGUACAAAUUGCUUCAUAUUUUUGUGGAUAUGAUUUUACAUGACACAAAUAAAAAUAUAUAUUUGUGGAUAAUGUACUUGUGAUUGCUUUCUACAGAUCAGCUGUGGUAUAUGGAGCCCCCAAGAGGUCUCAGUUCUUUUACAAUAGUUUUGCAUUCUCUCACAAAAUAAAUGUCUGUUUAACCUU